rnacentral:rRNA from 1 species
UGGGGAAUUUUGGACAAUGGGCGAAAGCCUGAUCCAGCAAUGCCGCGUGUGUGAAGAAGGCCUUCGGGUUGUAAAGCACUUUUGUCCGGAAAGAAAUCCUUGGCUCUAAUACAGUCGGGGGAUGACGGUACCGGAAGAAUAAGCACCGGCUAACUACGUGCCAGCAGCCGCGGUAAUACGUAGGGUGCAAGCGUUAAUCGGAAUUACUGGGCGUAAAGCGUGCGCAGGCGGUUUGCUAAGACCGAUGUGAAAUCCCCGGGCUCAACCUGGGAACUGCAUUGGUGACUGGCAGGCUAGAGUAUGGCAGAGGGGGGUAGAAUUCCACGUGUAGCAGUGAAAUGCGUAGAGAUGUGGAGGAAUACCGAUGGCGAAGGCAGCCCCCUGGGCCAAAUACUGACGCUCAUGCACGAAAGCGUGGGGGAGCAAACAGGAUUAGAUACCCUGGUAGUCCACGCCCUAAACGAUGUCAACUAGUUGUUGGGGAUUCAUUUCCUUAGUAACGUAGCUAACGCGUGAAGUUGACCGCCUGGGGGAGUACGGUCGCAAGAUUAAAACUCAAAUGAAUUGACGGGGUCAUAGCUGUUUCCU